rnacentral:rRNA from 1 species
AGAGUUUGAUCAUGGCUACAGAACGAACGCUGGCGGCAGGUCUUAGGCAUGCAAGUCGAACGGGUGUAGCAAUACAUCAGUGGACGCACGAGUGAGUAACGCGUGGGAAGCUGACCCAUCACUGGGGAAUAACGUUUGGAAACGAACGCUAAUACCGCAUACGCCCGAAAGGGGAAAGAUUUAUCGGUGAUGGGAUGUGCCCGCGUUGGAUUAGCUUGUUGUGGGUAACGGCCUACCAAGGCGAUGAUCCAUAGCUGGUCUGAGAGGACGAUCAGCCACGCUGGGACUGAGACACGGCCCAGACUCCUACGGGAGGCAGCAGCUAAGAAUAUUGGACAAUGGGGGAAACCCUGAAUCCAGCCAUGCCGCGUGAAUGAAGAAGGCCUUCGGGUUGUAAAGUUCUUUUAGUAGUGAAGAUGAUGACAGUAGCUACAGAAAAAGCACCGGCUAACUUCGUGCCAGCCGCCGC